rnacentral:rRNA from 1 species
CCUACGGGAGGCAGCAGUGGGGAAUAUUGCACAAUGGGGGAAACCCUGAUGCAGCGACGCCGCGUGAGUGAAGAAGCGUUUCGGCGCGUAAAGCCCUAUCGGCAGGGAAGAAAAUGACGGUACCUGACCAAGAAGCCCCGGCUAACUACGUGCCAGCAGCCGCGGUAAUACGUAGGGGGCAAGCGUUAUCCGGAUUUACUGGGUGUAAAGGGGGCGCAGACGGCAAUGCAAGCCUGUAGUGAAAGCCCGGGGCUCAACCCCGGGACUGCUCUUGGAACUGCAUGGCUGGAGUACAGGAGGGGCAGGCGGAAUUCCUAGUGUAGCGGUGAAAUGCGUAGAUAUUAGGAGGAACACCGGUGGCGAAGGCGGCUUGCUGGACUGUGACUGACGUUGAGGCCCGAAGGCGUGGGGAGCAAACAGGAUUAGAUACCCGGGUAGUC